rnacentral:rRNA from 1 species
UAGGGAAUCUUCCACAAUGGACGCAAGUCUGAUGGAGCAACGCCGCGUGAGUGAAGAAGGUUUUCGGAUCGUAAAGCUCUGUUGUUGGUGAAGAAGGAUAGAGGUAGUAACUGGCCUUUAUUUGACGGUAAUCAACCAGAAAGUCACGGCUAACUACGUGCCAGCAGCCGCGGUAAUACGUAGGUGGCAAGCGUUGUCCGGAUUUAUUGGGCGUAAAGCGAGCGCAGGCGGAAGAAUAAGUCUGAUGUGAAAGCCCUCGGCUUAACCGAGGAACUGCAUCGGAAACUGUUUGUCUUGAGUGCAGAAGAGGAGAGUGGAACUCCAUGUGUAGCGGUGGAAUGCGUAGAUAUAUGGAAGAACACCAGGGGCGAAGGCGACUCUCUGGUCGGCAACUGACGCUGAGGCUCGAAAGCAUGGGUAGCGAACAGG